rnacentral:rRNA from 1 species
UACGAAGGGGGCUAGCGUUGCUCGGAAUCACUGGGCGUAAAGCGCACGCAGGCGGAUUGCUAAGUCAGGGGUGAAAUCCUGGAGCUCAACUCCAGAACUGCCUUUGAUACUGAAGAUCUUGAGUUCGGGAGAGGUGAGUGGAACUGCGAGUGUAGAGGUGAAAUUCGUAGAUAUUCGCAAGAACACCAGUGGCGAAGGCGGCUCACUGGCCCGAUACUGACGCUGAGGCACGAAAGCGUGGGGAGCAAACAGG